ACACAUAUGAUACAUGCAGACAUGCAAUAUACGUAUUCUUGUGUGCUGUUAUCUUGCGUUCGUACGGAUGUGUUUCAUCGCUUCAAUUUUCAAUCUUCAUUGAAAAAAAUCAUCGAGAAAUAUACAGAAUGUCUUGCAAAGAGAAGCCUACAAGCAAAAACAAACACUAUUUAUUGAUGGAAAGGAAAUUAUUCUUACAAAUACUAGAAAAACAUGUAAUAGAAAUAAAAAAAAGCGACGGCACAACAUUAAAAGAUAAAGACCUUGCAUGGAGUGAAGUAUGUAAAGAAUACAAUCAAUCGGCACUAAUCUCUCAAGAAAGAACUUCAACAAUUGAAAAAAUUGUGGCCAAAUCUAAAGCAGUCGCAGAGAGAUGUAUUAACUAAAGAAAAACAAUCGCGUUUAGCAACUGGUGGAGGACCAGAAGAAACUGAAGCAAAAAUUGAUCCUGAUGUACUUAAUA